UAUGCUUCUUGGCCUUUUGGCUAAGAUAAAGUGUAAUAUUUGUUCUUGUGUUUCAUUGCAACACAUGGACAUUAUACUAGUAAGGUGUACAACAUAC
rnacentral:snRNA from 1 species